rnacentral:rRNA from 1 species
ACAGCAGCAGCCGCGGGAAUACGUAGGGGGCAAGCGUUAUCCGGAUUUACUGGGUGUAAAGGGAGCGUAGACGGAAUGGCAAGUCUGAAGUGAAAUGCCCGGGCUCAACCCGGGAACUGCUUUGGAAACUGUCGAUCUGGAGUGUUGGAGAGGUAAGUGGAAUUCCUGGUGUAGCGGUGAAAUGCGUAGAGAUCAGGAAGAACACCGGAGGCGAAGGCGGCUUACUGGACAAAGACUGACGUUGAGGCUCGAAAGCGUGGAAGCAAACAGGAUUAGAUACCCCCGUAGUCCCUGUCUCUUAUACA